rnacentral:rRNA from 1 species
AUUGAACGCUGGCGGAAUGCUUUACACAUGCAAGUCGAACGGCAGCACGGACUUCGGUCUGGUGGCGAGUGGCGAACGGGUGAGUAACAUAUCGGAACGUAUCCAAUAAUGGGGGAUAACUAAUCGAAAGGUUGGCUAAUACCGCAUACGCCCUACGGGGGAAAGCUAGGGACCUUCGGGCCUGGCGUUAAUGGAGCGGCCGAUAUCUGAUUAGCUAGUUGGUGAGGUAAAGGCUCACCAAGGCGACGAUCAGUAGCUGGUCUGAGAGGACGACCAGCAACACUGGAACUGAGACACGGUCCAGACUCCUACGGGAGGCAGCAGUGGGGAAUUUUGGACAAUGGGCGUAAGCCUGAUCCAGCCAUUCCGCGUGAGUGAAGAAGGCCUUCGGGUUGUAAAGCUCUUUCGCAAGGGAAGAAAACUUAGCCACUAACAUUGGCUGAGGUUGACGGUACCUUGAUAAGAAGCACCGGCUAACUACGUGCCAGCCGCCGCCGUAACAC